rnacentral:rRNA from 1 species
UUAUUACCAAGGUUGACC